GAGAGAUGAUUAAAACAUAAAAAUGAGGCUCUAUUUAUAGAAAAAUAAAUUCAUAAUCCAGUGCUUUGCGGUCCAUCAUAGGCUUCAUGCAUGUGCUCCUCACAACCCUUAGAUCAAGAUCCAAUGGCUGGUCAAACUUCAAAAGUCAACAUCACACAUGGCAUCAUUUGACUUGUCCGAUUUACCCAAAGAACGGUUGAGAUUUGGCGGGUUAAUGGGUGGAUCGGGUCGACCCAAAUACAAAGAUUCGGAUCCUCCAAAUUGCUUCACCAACCAUUGCCACGUGGCACAAUCAUGGCCAUUGAAUCAUGAACGGUUGAGAUUUAGUCAAGAUUGCCAGUUAUCCCAUGCACUCAUAUCUAUUGUAAGCUCAUUUCAUCAUCCAAUCAGUGCUCGGUCAACAGAAAAAGUCAACUUUUUUUACACAAGCCCAAUUUUAAGCCGAUCUUGACUGAUCUUAAGGUUUUCGGACCUCCGGAAUCCAAAUUUGACCUCCGUUUAUUUGUUUGGAGCCUCGAAGUACGUGAAAUUAAUAAUUUUCCUA
rnacentral:lncRNA from 1 species